GACGAACGCUGGCGGCGUGCUUAACACAUGCAAGUCGAACGCUGAAGCUCAGCUUUUGUUGGGUGGAUGAGUGGCGAACGGGUGAGUAACACGUGAGUAACCUGCCUCCUUCUUUGGGAUAACGCCCGGAAACGGGUGCUAAUACUGGAUAUUCAUUGGCCUUCGCAUGGGGGUUGGUGGAAAGGGUUUUUCUGGUGGGGGAUGGGCUCGCGGACUAUCCGCUUGUUGGUGGGGUGAUGGCCUACCAAGGCUUUGACGGGUAGCAGGGAUGAGUGGGUGACCGGUAACAGUGGGACUGAGAGACGGCGCAGGCUACUACGGGAGGCAGCAGUGGGGAAUAUUGAACAAGGGGCGGAAGCCUGAUGCAGCGACGCGGCGUGAGGGAUGGAGGCCUUCGGGUUGUGAACCUCUUUCGCUCAUGGUCAAGGCGCAACGAUUGUUGUGGUGAGGGUAGUGGGUAAAGAAGCGCCGGCUAACUACGUG
rnacentral:rRNA from 1 species